UGCUACACGCAACUUUGAACUGAAUUAUACUCAAAAUGCGUCGUUAGAUCAAAGAACACACCGCUAGUGCCCAACCAGAUUAUAUGAAAUGUGUAGUUGGAGUGAUAGAAGAAGUACUACUAACACCCGAAAAUUGGGUCCAAGCAUUUCCCACCCAUGGUUGUUGAUUAGUAGUUUCCGAAACACCAAGAAACUGCCUUGAUAAAUUUAAACCGCGGUUGUCUUCCAUCUUCACUGGAGGAUCUAUUUGAGUGUUAUCAUCUCUUCCUACCAUUGAUGAUGAUGGUGCUUCAGAUACACCUUCACUUUGAUAGUGAAAUAGAUUCGGGUUACUAGGUACCUCAAAACCAGCCAAGUAAGGCAAUUUCCAAUUUUCAGCACCUCCAACUGAUAACAUAUUAUUGAAAUUAUUCCCAUUUGAGCUCCCACUUCCUAGUUGAAAACUACCCAUUUCAUUUUGAAGCUGAAAGCCAGCAAGAUUUGAGCUAAUAUUGCCACCAACACCUCCAUAUUGACCUAAAGAGGUCAUGAAUGGCAAUUGAAGAGAGGGAGGAUGAUGGAGUUGAGUACUAGUCAUUGUUUCUGUACUACACCUUGAUGGACUAUCACCUACAGAUUUAGGCCUUGUUUGGGUUGGAGAUUUUGAUCUUCUGUUUUUAUUACUCCUUUUGUUUUUCCGACAACCUCCCCCCACCGGAACGUUUCUUAGAGCACCACCGCGAGUCCAAUAACGCCUACAUGACUUGCAAAAGUGUCGUGGUUGCGUGAGGCUAUAGUUGUUGAAAUAGCAGAACUUAGUGUUGGUUGAUUCACAACGUGGACAAUUUAACCCUGGCUCUGGCAUAGGUAGAUUGAGCAUCCUUGCUCGGUCUACCAUAGAUCCUGGUCUGGUGGAACCUUCUCCACCAGCACCAGCACCAGCACCCCCUCCACUAGGAUGUGAUGGGGGUGGUGGUUGUACCGGUGGUGGAGGGAGAUUAGGGUUUUCACCACCAGCACCACCGACACUCGCUUGUUGGUGACUUGAUUGUUGCAACUAUAACAAAACAUAAAAAUUAAUUAAGAGAAGCUCACAAGAGUCACUAUAUGUACAAAGUAUAUUCAUUCAACGAGAAUAUGUAUGAAUAAGUAUAUAUCAUUCAAAGAGAAUAUGUAUGAAUAAGUAUAUAUCAUCUUUCAGUGACAUAUACUUUUCCCUUUUCAUUUGAAUGAAGUAUUAAUACAAAGAUUCACAAAAAGGAUCAUGCACCAAAGGAAGAAGGUUAAAGAUCAUACCUGAAGAUGCCAAUUGUGGUGAUCAAGAUAGGAUGGAACAGAUGAGAACGCCAUGUUCUAACUAAAUUGAUCUCUCUUUUUCUCUUUUAGAAAGCUUUUAAGGGUUUCAACUCGAUAAUAUAUGCGAGUUGGGAAUCAAAGACAAGAUAAUAAUAUACAGAAAGGGUAGAUUAGAGAGAGAGGAGGAAAUAUGAUGAUGAUAAAAAGAAAAAGAAGAUGAUGACGAUGACGGCGAUGAUGGGAAGGCAAGAUAAGGGAGAUGAGGCUUUUGGUUCUUGA
rnacentral:lncRNA from 1 species